AGUGAACGCUGGCGGUAGGCCUAACACAUGCAAGUCGAACGGCAGCACAGUAAGAGCUUGCUCUUACGGGUGGCGAGUGGCGGACGGGUGAGGAAUACAUCGGAAUCUACUUUUUCGUGGGGGAUAACGUAGGGAAACUUCCGCUAAUACCGCAUACUACUUACGGGUGAAAGCAGGGGUUCUUCGGACCUUGCCCGAUUGAUUGAGCCGAUGUCGGAUUAGCUAGUUGGCGGGGUAAAGGCCCACCAAGGCGACGAUCCGUAGCUGGUCUGAGAGGAUGAUCAGCCACACUGGAACUGAGACACGGUCCAGACUCCUACGGGAGGCAGCAGUGGGGAAUAUUGGACAAUGGGCGCAAGCCUGAUCCAGCCAUGCCGCGUGGGUGAAGAAGGCCUUCGGGUUGUAAAGCCCUUUUGUUGGGAAAGAAAAGCAGCAGGUUAAUACCCCGCUGUUCUGACGGUACCCAAAGAAUAAGCACCGGCUAACUUCGUG
rnacentral:rRNA from 1 species